AUGAACGCUGGCGGCGUGCCUAAUACAUGCAAGUCGAGCGAACAGACGAGGAGCUUGCUCCUCUGACGUUAGCGGCGGACGGGUGAGUAACACGUGGAUAACCUACCUAUAAGACUGGGAUAACUUCGGGAAACCGGGGCUAAUACCGGAUAAUAUAUUGAACCGCAUGGUUCAAUAGUGAAAGACGGUUUUGCUGUCACUUAUAGAUGGAUCCGCGCCGCAUUAGCUAGUUGGUAAGGUAACGGCUUACCAAGGCAACGAUGCGUAGCCGACCUGAGAGGGUGAUCGGCCACACUGGAACUGAGACACGGUCCAGACUCCUACGGGAGGCAGCAGUAGGGAAUCUUCCGCAAUGGGCGAAAGCUUGACGGAGCAACGCCGCGUGAGUGAUGAAGGUCUUCGGAUCGUAAAACUCUGUUAUUAGGGAAGAACAAAUGUGUAAGUAACUAUGCACGUCUUGACGGUACCUAAUCAGAAAGCCACGGCUAACUACGUG
rnacentral:rRNA from 1 species